CACUCCUCCCCUCCAGACUUUUUUUUUUUCUUUUUUUUGGCUUCGCUCCACUGUCGGUGCUCUUUCAAUGCAAAUUUCCUAUUCAGAGCUUACAAAAGACGGAGUUGGCAGCUGCCAAGCCAGCCAGUGAGCGUGAAAACCACUGCUGGGAGAAGUUUUUACCAGGGAGCUUGUAACGUGAGUGGUUUCACUCCGCAGUUACGCAAAAAGCUUGAAAGGAGCGCAACUGAAACAAGACACGUGCAGAGAAGAGGAAGCAUCACCUGGACCGUGUUUCGCUUUACCUGUGGUCAGAUCCUGUGACAAAAUACUCUUCUGUAGGAUCAACAGCAAUUGCCUUGACUGGAGAAUCAUGACUCUGGAGUAACUGUUGCUGCUGCUUUAGGCGAAGAUCAAUUACACAGGUAUGAAGAGACAACUCUGCUGCUUAUUACCUGAAAGAUCAUGUCCAGCCAAAGGGUAGAAAAUCUUCAAAUUGUGAAGUACCAGCUGAACCAUUGCCAAUCUCAUCAGUGACCAACUAACAAGAAAGCACUAAUACAUGGAAUGUACACAGAUCAGUUUCUACAGUGAACCUCAGGAGUGGGUUCAAGACUUAGGUAAAACAAAGAAAGCUUAAAGAUGAAGAUAAAAAGGCAGUUUAUUUUUUGAACAUCGAUUUGGAGUCCACAAAAAGUGGAAAUUUAGCUGAGUCUGUUUUCUUAAGCAGAGGGGAGUACGGGCUGCCUUAACAGCAACAGUAAGUAUGAGACAAGAAAGCAAUACUACAGGCUUGAAGAGCUCACCUGAGGGACAGAUAUCUCUAUCACUGAGUUCAAGCACCAACCUGUUGGGCCAGACCAGUUGCAAGAAUGAACUAACAUGAACAUCACCAACUAACAACCACUGAAGCUUCCAAAAUUACCUUCUCCUGUUAAUAAUGCUGAGAAUGGCAAAAGAAGAGCCAGCAUACCUAUCUGUUCCUGGAGUAAACUACCACGAAAUACUUCCUAUACCCUUAUUUGUUUUAGUGUUUUAUCCACAGGAGACUGAGUCUUGAUAGGUGCCUGAAAGACUGUGUCUUUCAAAACUCUUAUGGGUAUUCCAGUCACUUGAAAACAGAAGGUCUAACACUGAACAAAAGAAAAAUAGUGGUAAUUUACAAACGCUUAUUUCCAUAUGUAAGACUUACUUGCUCAUAACACAAACUGAGCCAACGGUACAAUUGUUAACUCUGGGCUAUUAAGAUUUAAAUAUAUGGUUUUAAAAAAAAAAAACCUUCCAGGAUUUCCAUACCUCACCAUUUUUUAUUUGUUUUCUUCUAAUGGAAAAAUUCUCUGUACUCACACUAGUCAAUGGAAUUUAUUCAUUACUUCUGGUCAUUUGUGGACCAGGAAUAAACAUGUUAUUCCAGGAUUCAGAAAGAUUUUUGACUACAUAUGAAGACAAACUUCAUCACAAGCAACUGAACUACUGUGCUGGUUGAGGCUGAGGUAGAGUUAGUUUUCUUCACAAAUGGCCAUUGUCUUGGAUUUGUGCUGAAAACAGGGUUGAUGACACAGAGAUUUCUUUUAUUGCUGAACAGGGCUUCCACAGAGCCAAUGCCUUUUCUGCUUUUGCACUUCCAUCCUGGCAAGGGAGCUGGGGGUGCCUAAGAGGCUGGGAGGACACACAGCCAGGACAGGUGACCCAACUGACCAAAAGGAUAUUUCAGAGCAUGUGACAUCAAGGUCAGUACCUAAAGUGGAGGAAAGGAGGAAGAAGGGCGAGCACCUUUAGAAGCAUGGUGUUUGUCCUCCCAAGUCACCACUGCACAUGAUAGAGCACUGCUCUCCUGGAGCUGGCUGAACACCUGCCAGCCCAUGGAAAGCAGAGAAUUCAUUCCUUGUUUCUCUUUGGCUGUGUGCACAGCUUUUGCUAUUAAAUUGUCUUGAUCUGAACACAUUAGUUUUCUUUUUUCACCCUUCCCAUUUCAUACCUGGUCCUGCCAGUGGGGGAAUAAGUGAGCAAAUGGCUGCCUGGAGCUUGGCUGAUGGCUGGGAUUAAACCAUGACACAAUUUAUAUAUAGAAUCUAAUAAAAGAUGAAGACAUCCCAUCUUUCAUCUUGAAACAGGAAUAUCAUAACACUAUGUGUUGCACUGUACCAUUUUCUUUUUUUCUUGUUAGGGAUAGUACUUGAAAUCCACUUACCUGUACUAAAAGUCAAAACCACAAUAACUGCAGUACGAUGCAUUUUCAUCUCAUUAUUCAAAACUUAUCAGUUAAGGAGCAUGCACAUGCAUCACCAUGAAUUUUUAGCUAAUUUUUAGCAACUACUUAAAAUAAAAGAAAUUCACGAGGCAUGAAAUAAGGAGCAAGUGUUGCAUGAUACAGAAAUGAGCAAGUAUAGGCCAGCAGGUUGUUUUUCUAAGCAGAAUUCAAAAGGUAAGUUUUAUUUCAAAAAACUUUCUAAUUAAGUUUUUACUUUUUUAUUAAAAACGUACAUUAUUGCUUUCUGUUGGAUUGCUCUUUGUAUUUUUAAGAAUACUGUAGGCUAGCCAUUGGAAAAAAUUCAGUAUGUAAGGUAAAUGAAAGAACAACCACCUAAGUUUGACAAACACUACUAAUGCAGAUUUCUUUUUAUACAUUGUAAAAGAAAUUAACUACAUUAAAAAUGUCCUUAAAGUUCCGACUGUCAUUUGGGAUUUCAAAUUACCGAUUACACACACUUUCAAAUUUCUCAUAUAUUUCUAAUUAAAAACAAAACAUGUAUUUUGUUUUUUAUUUGAAACAUUUAUCUUUGCUCCCAUUUUACUUAUAACACAAAAGUAAAAUGUAUGUUAUUUCCCAAGAAUAUUGGACUAAUUCAGACAAGGAAAAUCCUUUAAUUUCUGUUGGGUCCUAAGACAUGCAAUGAUACUGAAAAGAUCUAUUACUUUCCACCUUCCCAGGAAGAACUAAAAAGCAAACUGCUUUCAACUUCCCGUCACUUGCUCUUGCAGCAUGGAGUAACUGAAUACAUUAAAUGAAACUAUGGAUUUCUAAUUGCUAAAACUAAGGUCAAAUUCUUCCUCAAGAACCUUUUGGAUGAUAAGAACUUACCAUCUCUAUAGACUUAAAUUAUAAAACAGUUUGUUUAGGUAGUUUUCAUGGUAAAUGUGAUUCUGAAAAAAUUCUGCUAUAAUCAACAACAAGGUUCUUUUUCAGAUGAUAACUGCCUCUUGGAAAAUAAAACAUCAUGUGCUAGUUCUGUUUGCCAAAAUCAUUUGCUGCAACUGCAAAAGCAAGAAACACGGCUGAAAAGCAUAGUGAACUGAAAAGCUUUCAAACUCCUUUGUUCUGUCUGAUUGUUAUGUGACAGAGGCACUAAAACAAGUUUUUAUUAAAAAAAAUUCCUAAUAGAGGUUAGGGAUUUAUAAGACUACCAGAUACUGGGUUUUAGUUCCUGUUUUUACCAUUUGAGUCUAAGAGAAGGAUCAUAUUUACUUAAGUGAAAUUUUAUAUUCAAAGUUACUACACACUCAAGUCAACUAAAGCAAGGAGCAGAAAGGGAAAGAACAUAACUUUAUUGACCAGUGCUGUACAUGGAGUUAUGAUCUCUUAAAAGAAGUUUCAAACUUGGAGAUCAACACCCAUAUUCAAAUAUGUACUACAGGAUUGGAGGGGAGGCAAAGAGGAGAAGACAUGCAUAGUCUUGUGUUAGAAUUAUUAGUGUUCAGAAUUUUUAGCUUUUUGUCUCCAUUUGAGAGUGGAAGCAUUUCACAAAAAUACAGAAGUAAACAUAAGGGAAAAUAGUCAAGUUAAGCAUAACAAAAUGGUAAGAUAUAAAAAUCUAAAUAAUAUUACAGAAUAAUAUGGCAUAGCUGACCAGAACAAGCAUUCCACUCACUUCUCAGUAUUUGCUUCUGGGUGUCAGAAAGAGUAAAGGCACAAAAAUACAGCUGAUUUUAAUCUUAAUCUCUCUGCUUCAUUGGAGGUCUCUUUUUUUCCCUUUCUCUCUCCACUAUUCUUUUCAAUAUGAAUGAGAAAGGACUUUGGAGAAAUACCUUUCCCCCAAAUUUGCUUUAUAUAAACAUGCAUUAAAAACAAGUAAUAACUCAAUGAAUCCUAGAAUUACAUAGGUUGAAAGACACUCAGUCCAACCCAUUGCUCAGAACAGGGCUGACUUGAUUGAUGGCCUAGCUUGUUCAAGUUUUUGAGUAACUCCAAAUAUAGAGAUCCCACAACACCUCUAGGCCCUUUUCUCAGUGAUUAUCACUAAAAACUAGUAUUAAAAAAAUGUUCCUUCCCCCCUUCAAAUUUUAGGUAGAGCUUUGGGAUUCUUCCAGCAACAGUUUUAUUAAAACUGCAAUCAGGCAGCCAGCAUUCUUCCUUCAAAAAAAUAUGCAGCAUAUAGGCUAUAUUUAGUAUCUAUUUCAGAAUACACUUCUUUGUAAAAAUUGUUUGCAUUUUAAACCAGUGGUAGCAGUAGUAUUAACACAGCUUAGCAUAGAGUUAAUAACACCUAGUUAGCAGAACUGCCAACAAAAGCCAGUAAAGGCUUCUGACAAUUCUGUGACAGCAAACAAGUUUACCUUACUAAAGUGAUAGAGAGAAAUGUUUACUCAGUACCACAGAGAAAUCUAAUCAGAAUAAGAGCUCACUUUUGGGUAAAGACCUCUACUCUGAAAACAUUUUUCUAAAAGUCUGAUGAAGAUAUUUAAAUAGACCACAUUUACAUGUUUCCAUAAAUGGAAGGUAAGACAUUUCAAUAUGUAGCAUAUAUCUAAAUAUUAAUAAUAUUUUAAAAAAUAAAGUUACAUUUUGUUUCUCUACAUAUAUAUUCAGAUGUGAUUCAGAAAGUCAUCAGAGUUUAAGUAAAUUUGUCUUUACAAAACUUUCCCUCAAAAACUUAGUUAAUUGUAGCAUUUUUGCUGUUGGUUUUAUACAAGUCAAAUGAAAUCAAAAAGAACAUAAUUAUAUGAAAAAUAAAAGCAUUACAGGAAUUUGUUCUGGACCUGAGGAUAAUUUAUCACUACUUGAAUUUAAAACUUGAAGAUUGUUUACUUUUGUAAUGGGUUCUUAGAAGAUCAACAAGACACCUUUCACUUGUAAUGUCUGGAAUGAACACUUAGAAAUCACAUGCACAAUAAUGCUUAUAUUCAAAAAGCAAAACAAGCAGCCCUCCAAAAAAGAUAUGAAACACUUCUGAUAUUUUCAAACCAUGGUCAAAGUAAUUUUGUAUUUAAUAUUUAUUUCAAGUGAAGAGCCAUAAGAAUACUACAUGCUGACAAUUUUCUUUUUUUGGAAAGGCCCAAUUUAUGUGCUUCUUUAAUUACAAAAUUUUACUUUAAAUUUGGAUAUCAUGGCUUGCAAACAGAAGUUUUUCUGUCUUUUUCUGUCUUUCUGCAUAUGCAAAAAAAACCAAACCACACAUAGCAAACUGCAUGUAGAGGCCUAGUA